rnacentral:rRNA from 1 species
UUUAUUGGAGAGUUUGAUCCUGGCUCAGGACGAACGCUGGCGGCGUGCUUAACACAUGCAAGUCGAACGGGGCGAAGUGAUAGCUUGCUAUUAUGGAGCCUAGUGGCAAACGGGUGAGUAA